AGGACGAACGCUGGCGGCGUGCUUAACACAUGCAAGUCACGGGGGUCCCGCAAGGGAUAACCGGCGAACGGGUGCGUAACGCGUGAGCAACCUGCCUUUGUGUGGGGGAUAGCCGGGCUAACGCCCGGGUAAUACCGCAUACGGUUCUCGAGGGGAGUCCCUUGGGAAAGAAACCUCCGGGGCACAGAGAGGGGCUCGCGGCCUAUCAGCUAGUUGGGGGGGUAAUGGCCCACCAAGGCGACGACGGGUAGCU
rnacentral:rRNA from 1 species